rnacentral:rRNA from 1 species
UUUUAAAUUGAGAGUUUGAUCCUGGCUCAGGAUGAACGCUGGCGGCGUGCUUAACACAUGCAAGUCGAGCGAUGAAGUUUCCUUCGGGAAACGGAUUAGCGGCGGACGGGUGAGUAACACGUGGGUAACCUGCCUCAUAGAGUGGAAUAGCCUUCCGAAAGGAAGAUUAAUACCGCAUAAUGUUGAAAGAUGGCAUCAUCAUUUAACCAAAGGAGCAAUCCGCUAUGAGAUGGACCCGCGGCGCAUUAGCUAGUUGGUGGGGUAACGGCCUACCAAGGCGACGAUGCGUAGCCGACCUGAGAGGGUGAUCGGCCACAUUGGGACUGAGACACGGCCCAGACUCCUACGGGAGGCAGCAGUGGGGAAUAUUGCACAAUGGGGGAAACCCUGAUGCAGCAACGCCGCGUGAGUGAUGAAGGUUUUCGGAUCGUAAAGCUCUGUCUUUGGGGAAGAUAAUGACGGUACCCAAGGAGGAAGCCACGGCUAACUACGUGCCAGCAGCCGCGGUAAUACGUAGGUGGCGAGCGUUAUCCGGAUUUACUGGGCGUAAAGGGAGCGUAGGCGGAUGAUUAAGUGGGAUGUGAAAUACCCGGGCUCAACUUGGGUGCUGCAUUCCAAACUGGUUAUCUAGAGUGCAGGAGAGGAGAGUGGAAUUCCUAGUGUAGCGGUGAAAUGCGUAGAGAUUAGGAAGAACACCAGUGGCGAAGGCGACUCUCUGGACUGUAACUGACGCUGAGGCUCGAAAGCGUGGGGAGCAAACAGGAUUAGAUACCCUGGUAGUCCACGCUGUAAACGAUGAAUACUAGGUGUGGGGGUUUCAACACCUCCGUGCCGCCGCUAACGCAUUAAGUAUUCCGCCUGGGGAGUACGGUCGCAAGAUUAAAACUCAAAGGAAUUGACGGGGACCCGCACAAGUAGCGGAGCAUGUGGUUUAAUUCGAAGCAACGCGAAGAACCUUACCUACACUUGACAUCCCUUGCAUUACUCUUAAUCGAGGAAAUCCCUUCGGGGACAAGGUGACAGGUGGUGCAUGGUUGUCGUCAGCUCGUGUCGUGAGAUGUUGGGUUAAGUCCCGCAACGAGCGCAACCCUUGUCGUUAGUUACUACCAUUAAGUUGAGGACUCUAGCGAGACUGCCUGGGUUAACCAGGAGGAAGGUGGGGAUGACGUCAAAUCAUCAUGCCCCUUAUGUGUAGGGCUACACACGUGCUACAAUGGCUGGUACAGAGAGAUGCAAUACCGUGAGGUGGAGCCAAACUUUAAAACCAGUCUCAGUUCGGAUUGUAGGCUGAAACUCGCCUACAUGAAGCUGGAGUUACUAGUAAUCGCGAAUCAGAAUGUCGCGGUGAAUACGUUCCCGGGUCUUGUACACACCGCCCGUCACACCAUGAGAGUUGGCAAUACCCGAAGUCCGUGAGCUAACCGUAAGGAGGCAGCGGCCGAAGGUAGGGUCAGCGAUUGGGGUGAAGUCGUAACAAGGUAGCCGUAGGAGAACCUGCGGCUGGAUCACCUCCUUUCUAA